rnacentral:rRNA from 1 species
GACGAACGCUGGCGGCGUGCUUAACACAUGCAAGUCGAACGAAGUGGCGAACGGGUGAGUAACGCGUAAUCAACCUGCCCUUCAGAGGGGGACAAACGUUGGAAACGACUGAUAAUACCGCAUACUGAAGGCGGGGAUUCCGUCUGAAUAGCUAGUUGGAGGGGUAACGGCCAACCAAGGCGAUGAGCAGUAGCCGGGCUGAGAGGCUGAACGGCCACAUUGGGACUGAGACAAGUCCCAAACUCCUACGGGAAGCAGCAGUGGGGAAUCUUCCGCAAAGGACGAAAGUCUGACGGAGCAACGCCGCGGUAGUGAUGACGGCCUUCGGGUUGGAAAGCUCUGUUAAUCGGGACGCGGUACCGAAAUAGAAAGCCACGGCUAACUACGUGCCAGCAGCCGCGGUAAUAC